UGACUCUUGGUGCAUUUUGGAGCUUAUUAAGUACUUUAAGUGCUUGGGCAGAGGAAAAUCAUUUAAGAAAUGCUUGCAUUCUUCCCCUCCUUAAAAUGAUCAAUGUGUCCACGUUAUAUAUGGAGUCAAGUUCGUCCUUGACGGAAGACAUAAAAUAGUAAACCGCUCUAAUUUGGUCGGUUCAGGUAGCUUGGCUGGACAUAAAUUACUAGGUCAAGAGCCUCAAAUAUUUUCCAACAUAUUUAUUCACGUUUGCUGCCCCUUCCCCUCUAAACUUGUCUUGAUAUUAUGCUCACUAUAAGACACAUCAUUGGAAAGAACAGGGUCAUCAAAGUUGUUUCAAUUUUUUCUUAACUAGCCAUACAAGAAUUCAGAACAUUUUUCAUAGACCUAAAUAGUAUUCUAAAGAAAACUCCUUACAACGUCUCUUCAAAUCCCAAAAAAAGCCUUUGACUGUCACUCACAAUCCCACCCCAUCCCACCCCACCAACGGAAGCGGCGAAGAGGCCUACAAGGCUACAACAACAAUGAAGGUUGAACGAGAAUUGAUUGAGAUGUGGGCUGAACGAAGAAAGGUUGCUUUGGGUUUCGCAACCAAGACAAUGGCUUUUUGGGGAGCGCAUUGCUUGGGUUUUUUUACCAGGGCGGUAUGCUUCCCGGGGAAGGUCGCAGUGGGUUUUAAUGGGAGAGGCUUGUGGGGUGUUGCUGGAUUGUUGGUGGCCGCUUGGGGUCUGUCGUUCCGUCGACGGUGGCAGGUGUUGGGGAGCUGGUCGCUCUUGCUCUACACCCGCUCCUUGUCUUUCACAGCCUCCCCCUUCUCUCCUAUGGAUUUCUCCUCAAACUUAAAUCAAAGAUUUUCUCACUAGAGAAAUCAACGGACACUAGCUUACUAUGGCCUUUUCGUUUGUUCAUCGUGGAAUCAAGGAGGCUCAUCUUUCAUGUCUUCAAAGAUUCCGAGAGAACCAGAUUCAAUUGACCAGGGAACCAGUAGAAGCUCAACUAAAAAUACAAUUCCAAAAGCGAAGGAGAGGGGAUUUUUGAUCCAAGAAGAGUUCUAAGGAUAAUGAUGAUGGUAAAGAGUGGAAAUUGGAAGAGAAACAUGAAAUGUAUGCUAGAGAAAAUGCUUGAAGAUCAGUUCCAGCUUCUGUUCUUUGGAAACUGCGUAGGACAUUCUUCGCCUACAAGUUGGCUGGUCUAAGGUUAAAUUUUUCAUAUUUCAUUUUCUCUCUCUUAAUAUUUGAUAUUCUAAAAACUAAAAUUAUCAUUUGAUGAGAGCUUGAUUUUGAUUUUGCAUUUGUUUAUUUUAUCGAAUCUCUGUUUGAUAUU